rnacentral:rRNA from 1 species
UGCAGUCGAGCGGUAGAGAGAAGCUUGCUUCUCUUGAGAGCGGCGGACGGGUGAGUAAUGCCUAGGAAUCUGCCUGGUAGUGGGGGAUAACGUUCGGAAACGGACGCUAAUACCGCAUACGUCCUACGGGAGAAAGCAGGGGACCUUCGGGCCUUGCGCUAUCAGAUGAGCCUAGGUCGGAUUAGCUAGUUGGUGGGGUAAUGGCUCACCAAGGCGACGAUCCGUAACUGGUCUGAGAGGAUGAUCAGUCACACUGGAACUGAGACACGGUCCAGACUCCUACGGGAGGCAGCAGUGGGGAAUAUUGGACAAUGGGCGAAAGCCUGAUCCAGCCAUGCCGCGUGUGUGAAGAAGGUCUUCGGAUUGUAAAGCACUUUAAGUUGGGAGGAAGGGUUGUAGAUUAAUACUCUGCAAUUUUGACGUUACCGACAGAAUAAGCACCGGCUAACUCUGUGCCAGCAGCCGCGGUAAUACAGAGGGUGCAAGCGUUAAUCGGAAUUACUGGGCGUAAAGCGCGCGUAGGUGGUUUGUUAAGUUGGAUGUGAAAUCCCCGGGCUCAACCUGGGAACUGCAUUCAAAACUGACUGACUAGAGUAUGGUAGAGGGUGGUGGAAUUUCCUGUGUAGCGGUGAAAUGCGUAGAUAUAGGAAGGAACACCAGUGGCGAAAGCGACCACCUGGACUAAUACUGACACUGAGGUGCGAAAGCGUGGGGAGC